rnacentral:rRNA from 1 species
CGUGAACCUUUACUAUAGCUUGACACUGAACAUUGAGCCUUGAUGUGUAGGAUAGGUGGGAGGCUUUGAAGUGUGGACGCCAGUCUGCAUGGAGCCGACUUGAAAUACCACCCUUUAAUGUUUGAUGUUCUAACGUGGGCCCCUUACCGGGGUUGCGGACAGUGUCUGGUGGGUAGUUUGACUGGGGCGGUCUCCUCCUAAA